AAACUUUCAACAACGGAUCUCUUGGUUCUGGCAUCGAUGAAGAACGCAGCGAAAUGCGAUAAGUAAUGUGAAUUGCAGAAUUCAGUGAAUCAUCGAAUCUUUGAACGCACAUUGCGCCCUCUGGUAUUCGGGGGGGCAUGCCUGUUCGAGCGUCAUUA
rnacentral:rRNA from 1 species